rnacentral:rRNA from 1 species
CGUGCUUACACAUGCAAGUCGAACGGUGAAGCAGGAGCUUGCUCCUGUGGAUCAGUGGCGAACGGGUGAGUAACACGUGAGAAAUGUGCCCUGGACUCUGGGAUAAGCGUUGGAAACGACGUCUAAUACCGGAUACGCGACGCGAAGGCAUCUUCAGCGUCGGGAAAGAACUUCGGUCCAGGAUCAUCUCGCGGCCUAUCAGCUAGUUGGUGAGGUAACGGCCACCAAGGCGACGACGGGUAGCCGGCCUGAGAGGGUGACCGGCCACACUGGGACUGAGACACGGCCCAGACUCCUACGGGAGGCAGCAGUGGGGAAUAUUGCACAAUGGGCGCAAGCCUGAUGCAGCAACGCCGCGUGAGGGACGACGGCCUUCGGGUUGUAAACCUCUUUUAGUAGGGAAGAAGCGAAAGUGACGGUACCUGCAGAAAAAGCACCGGCUAACUACGUAACAGCAGCCGCGGUAAUACGUAGGGUGCAAGCGUAUCCGGAAUUAUUGGGCGUAAAGAGCUCGUAGGCGGUUUGUCGCGUCUGCUGUGAAAAAUGGAGGCUCAAACUCCAGCCUGAAGUGGGUACGGGC